UGGGGAAUAUUGCACAAUGGGCGCAAGCCUGAUGCAGCCAUGCCGCGUGUAUGAAGAAGGCCUUCGGGUUGUAAAGUACUUUCAGCGGGGAGGAAGGGAGUAAAGUUAAUACCUUUGCUCAUUGACGUUACCCGCAGAAGAAGCACCGGCUAACUCCGUGCCAGCAGCCGCGGUAAUACGGAGGGUGCAAGCGUUAAUCGGAAUUACUGGGCGUAAAGCGCACGCAGGCGGUUUGUUAAGUCAGAUGUGAAAUCCCCGGGCUCAACCUGGGAACUGCAUCGGAUACUGGCAAGCUUGAGUCUCGUAGAGGGGGGUAGAAUUCCAGGUGUAGCGGUGAAAUGCGUAGAGAUCUGGCGGAAUACCGGUGGCGAAGGCGGCCCCCUGGACGAAGACUGACGCUCAGGUGCGAAAGCGUGGGGAGCAAACAGG
rnacentral:rRNA from 1 species